rfam:Parcubacteria (Wolfebacteria) bacterium GW2011_GWA2_42_10 TT85_C0004, whole genome shotgun sequence.
GGGCCUAUAGUUUAGUGGCAGAACACCGCAUUUGCAAUGCGGAGAUGGCAGUUCGAUUCUGCCUAGGUCCA